UACGUAGGUGGCAAGCGUUGUCCGGAUUUAUUGGGUUUAAAGGGUGCGUAGGCGGCCUAUUAAGUCAGUGCUGAAAUAUCCCGGCUUAACCGGGAGGGUGGCAUUGAUACUGAUGGGCUUGAGUUCAGUCGAGGUAGGCGGAAUUGACGGUGUAGCGGUGAAAUGCUUAGAUAUCGUCAAGAACACCGAUAGUGUAGACAGCUUACUAGGCUGAAACUGACGCUGAGGCACGAAAGUGUGGGGAUCAAACAGGAUUAGACGU
rnacentral:rRNA from 1 species